AGAUUGGGAACGUGACUUCCAUCACUGGGAAACGCUGUUAAAGCACAGUUUAAGGAUGUUGGAGCUUGGUGAUGCUAACCCGGUUGGUGAAAGUGAUCUGGCUUCCCAACCCACGUUCAGGAUUGAGCCUCUGGGAGAUGCUGAGGUGAUGGACAAAAAGGCAGGGCUGAAGGAGGUAUUUCCCCGAGGAAGCAGUGGCUCAUUGGCAGCCCCUGCAGCAGAAAGGAAGGCGAUGCCAGACACGGGCACAGGCACAGCAGAUGCAGCCAGCACCACAACACCUGUUCCUGAUGCCGAGGAUGGCCUCGGAAGGGGCUUCUAUAUGGGAACAGGCUGCUGGGCAGGGGUAAUGGCAGGCCUGCUUAUUUUGGACCUUAUUCUCAUGUUGUGCUGUGUCAAAAUCUGGUGUUACUGGAAGAAGAAAUGGAGCACCUCUGGAACUUCACAAGUCCAGCCAAAUACCUCAGUCAUGGAGAACUUGGCCUGUCGUCGUGCAUCUCUGUGCCAGUGUCCAUUGUCCCUUCCACAGGUGUAUUACCAGCUUGUAGCUGGAAGUAUGCUACAAGCACUGCCUAGAACAGGUCCGUCUCUCCCUGAAGGGACUGGCCUAGCUGCCCAUCCAGGACAGGAGGUGCAGCCCUCUAGCCAGGGAAUAGAUUAUUCGCAAAGUUAUAUUUACUUGAAAAAAUUUUAGAUGUUUAUUAAAAACCUUAUUAGAAAUAUAACAGGACACUGAAUAAAGACAAUGUUACUGUGCUGGGAGUAGAGGAUUUUUCCCACCACAUUCUCAUCCACACAAUGGAGGUUUCACCUUUCAACUCUUUUGCCCCUCUUAAAGUUCUGUCUAUCGACUCCUUCUUUGAUGUCCAGUGCUGGAGUUUACUUCCUUACAUCUCGCUUGGAGGUCAGGUGCUGCUGUCGUAGCAAGGUGACCCUCUUAAAUGUCUCAAACUCAGGUAAUCCCAAGAUAACAACACAACAGGGGGUAAAACAUAUCUAUAAAUAUAUAAAACUUCUCUUAACAUAUAUACAUGAUAUUUAUCCUUUAUUGUGAGAGUCAACUGUCACUUUACUCAUCUAUCACAGGCUUGAGUCCAGGUUCAGCUCAGGUGUCUGUGUGCUACCACCAGCACUGGCGGAGCUGCUCGUCUGGGCACAGCCAGGCAUGGGCAGGCAGCUGCUGGGCAUGGGGCUCAUCAGACCAACAGCACCCUCAUGUUAUCUUUGUCUUUCAUUUUAAAACAUUUAGAUAUAUUUUUCCUUUGCAGCAUUGAGGAGAGUUUUUCAUAGAAUACG